AGAUGGGGACCUGUAGGACAUCUGUGGGGGAUGUGGCCGUGACGUGGCGAUGACGCCACUCAUCCUACCUCUUCUACGAUUCAGCUCGACGCGAAUUUUCCGGCGAGAUUUCUAGCCCUCCGAUCAAGCUCCAUCUAGUCCUCCAACUCCUAUUUAAACUCGUUUUAUUCAACUCUAAGCCCUAACAAUCAAUCCUGCAGCCAUAGCGACCUCUUUCUCGCUCGAAAUCGCAGCCUCCUACACGAGGGACUCUUGACGAACGUUCGACGGUUGCCGAUUUCAAACCUUCGAUCGAUUGUCCAUCUCUUCCUAAGUUAGGUAAGGGAUUAUUUUUCCCUAUACAAUGGAUUUCGUUUCGUCGGGAUUGUAUCUGAACCCAUUCGUGUUUGGAUUGAUGCUUGAAAUCUCAGAAACAGGCUCGACGUUGGCGAAGUCGUGAAGCUUUGGGUUUGGUGUUUCGUAGAGAUUCUGAGCCUCUAAACUAGUGGGAAAGCUUCGUAUUAAGGUUAGAAACCGAUUCAUAACACUUAAAUUGAGUUUCGGUUUGAUUUUAUUGCCUUUCUAGAAUCUGGGAAUUUUCCGGCGAGUCUGAUGAUGCCUGGGUUGAAGAUGAUGGUUGAACCGAAACGGUACUGCCCCAUUUCGGUUAAACCGGUUCAAGUUUGGUGCAUAAUUACAUCAUCGAUCCCUGAACUUGAGACAAAAUGUCAAAUCAGUCACCGUAAUAGUUAGAAACUCUCGGUAGUCCUUUCCUUAGCCCUUUGUAGUCUGAAACUUUUAGAUCUUGAUAGUUCUAGCCCAAUUCACUUCAGCAGAUUUACAAAGCAGCCCUUUUAGUUACGAAUCCUAUCAUUUGGUACAUUCGACCCAAAAUCUUAAUUAAAUUGUGAAACCAAUAACGUUGUUAUUCGAGAUUAAUAAUAUGAAUAUCCUAAUUUUCAUUAAGAUUAGAUAAAUAUUUAGAAUUAUGACUUAAUAAUAGAAUUAGAAAUUGCUUAGUUUAAUUAAGAAUUUAGUUUUCCUUUCUCAUAGAAUAAUUGAAAGCUUCUAUCAUCUUAUGGAUAAUAAAAGCCUUAUAUCUAAUUACCCUCCUUAGAUGCCAUGAUUAAGAUAGCUCUUCUUAAGUUAGGUUCUUACUCCUAUCUCGAACAUUUUUUUGUCGAGAUGAUUCAUCUUCCCGUCACUUCACAUUUAAAAUGAGAAGUGAUCUCUUCGAAUGGCGCCAAACAUCAACUUAGAGUCUUCGGCUAUUUUAGUUUCUCAACCUAAUCUUUAUCCUCAUCUUUAGGCUCUUAUAGGCGGUCUAGUUCUUGUGCUUAUCUCAUUUCUUUUCCUCGACCGGACCUUCACCACUUGAUUUCCAGGUGGGUUGGUUUAAGGGGGUAAAUUCUUGUUGUGUGUUUAAAUUACGUUAUGCAAUGAUUUAUGAUUAUUGAACUUCCCGUGAUUCAUGAGUAUCCUAAUAAAUAAAUAAUAUUAAGCUUCAUAUGAUCACAUAAUACACUCAUAUGAUCAAAUUAUACACUCAUCCCUAGCUAGACCAUCGCCCCCAUUAUGAUUUACGGGCCGAGUUUUGCCCAUUUUGAUUCAUGGGCCGAGUUUUGCGCUCUAUGAUUUAUGAUACCGUCUGAUGGAUACAUAAUCCUAUACCUCUAUGAUUCUAGCGGUAGGACGGUGGGCUAGUUAGCGGAGUUAGGGGGCCCCUAGAUAAGAAUAUGAUUAGAAGUACUUAUGACUUCUACUGAAUAGAUACUAAGACCCACGAUAUACUUAAAGCCUAUAAAUAAUAUUCCAUGAUUAUGAAUAACUCUUAAUGACAACACCUUAAGAUUAAGAUAAUGAAUACGCAGGACUGACCCCGAGCCACCCACCAGGUCACGCAGGAGGAGCUAGAGAUCGGCCAGCUUCAGGAGAGUGCGAUCGUUGCCCAUCAUGUCGCAGGACUCAAAGUGAGUGAUGAGCUUAGGAGGUCGAGUAUUUGUAGUUUUAUGGAGUUAGACUUGAGACUAUUUCUUUCUGACUUUUAUUGUUGGAUUUAUGGGCGCCCACUUGUUAGGGUUUAUUUCAUCUUUGGCUAUUAUGAGUUUUGUUAGCGAUUUUGGAUUGAUUUUAUCGAUUUUGUUUUGGAGACAUUUAAUAGUCCCGGGCAUUUUGGUCAUUUAAUAAACGCGAGGAGUUUAGGGUUUAACAGUCACAUUUAUCAAGUUCACCCAAAGACAUUCCAACUAGACAUGCAUUCCUAAUUAGGUUCUCGAUAAGCUAGGCAUCACUCACAAGUCAUAUAAGAAUGCUCUAAAAUGCUCAAAGCAUAAAGUUCACUUACCUAGAAA
rnacentral:lncRNA from 1 species